AGCAGGGCCGCCUCCCCGCCUCUCGCCAGCAGCUGGCGCCCGCGCAACAGUGGGUUGCGCGCGCGCCAAACAUGGGCAUGAGCACGAGCGGCAGCCAAGGGCACCAGCCCAUGCGUGCGGCCAUAGACGCGCACGCAUCAAGAAGCACAGCCAGCCCAAGGCACGGCCAGACCUGCAUUCGGCCGAGCGCACCACAACCAGACCAAGCCAAGGGCAGCGCACGGGUUCAGCUCGACCAAAGACACAGCCAAGCGGCCGAGCCCGCCAGCAUUGGGUCCGGACCAGCCAGCGCACGAGCGCCCGAAUGCCAAGGAUGGAAAGCCACAGUCAACCAGGGCCCGCGCACACCAGAAGACACUUGGCAGCCAUCCGCCG
rnacentral:lncRNA from 1 species